GACGAACCGAGCGAACGUUGUUCGGAAUCACUGGGCUUAAAGGGCGCGUAGGCGGGCAAGCAAGUCCGGGGUGAAAUCUUUCGGCUCAACCGGAAAAGUGCCUUGGAUACUGCUUGUCUCGAGGGAGGUAGGGGCCUGUGGAACUUCCGGUGGAGCGGUGAAAUGCGUUGAUAUCGGAAGGAACGCCGGUGGCGAAAGCGACGGGCUGGAUCUCUACUGACGCUGAGGCGCGAAAGCCAGGGGAGCGAACGGG
rnacentral:rRNA from 1 species